UAAUACGAAGGGCCCGAGCGUUAAUCGGAAUCACUGGGCUUAAAGCGUACGUAGGCGGACGCGCAGGCAUCUUGUGAAAUCCCCCGGCUCAACCGAGGAACUGCUUGGUGAACCGCGUGUCUUGAGGCAAGUAGGGGCUGUCGGAACGAUAGGUGGAGUGGUGAAAUGCGUUGAUAUCUAUCGGAACGCCGAAGGAGAAAUCAGGCAGCUGGGCUUGUUCUGACGCUGAGGUACGAAAGCGUGGGGAGCGAACGGGAUUAGAUACCCCGGUAGUCCACGCCGUAAACGAUGUGCACUAGAUCGAGGGGGUUCUGACACUGCUCUCGGUCGAAGCAAAAGUGUUAAGUGCACCGCCUGGGGAGUACGGUCGCAAGGCUA
rnacentral:rRNA from 1 species